AGUGUUUCUCCACAUACAAUCACAGAACUGUUCUCAGCUGAACUCUGAAGCACAGGGUGUUCACUCCUGCAUCCCAUCUAGACUUGGUCUGGCACUUAAGGCUCAUUCCCAGUGUGCCCACAGUAGCUUUCUCCCUAGAGUUUAAUACUGAACGUGGAUGACUGGUCCUACCAGAGCUGGGUUGUGGAGGAAGAUUCCAGCUAGCUAAAAUUCCACUUGCAGAAGAAUGCAACAAAUUCUCUUCUACUGACUAAGUAUUAUUUUCAUAGAAUUUAGUUUUGGAGCACAUUCUGAAGUACAUAACUAAGUAGCAUAUUUAUUAUUCAUAAAAAUGGACUUACCAUUUCUGCAUUUAUAGAAAAUAGGCAAAGAUACUUAUGUACUGCAGUUGUUUAAGAAGAUUGUAAUUGUUACUGAUAUUUCUUUUAACUUCUCACCACCUCAAGUCUGUUGACUGUAUCCAGGACCACCAUCUGACAGGAUUCUACUUUUGUACAUGUUUACUUUGUUGGUGAUCUAGUCUUCUAUGCAUAUCUAUGUAUUUGUAUAUGUUUACUUUGUUGGUGAUCUAGUCUUCUAUGUAUAUCUAUGCCAUUAAUUUAAGCAACAAUUUUGUUCUCAAGAGCUGCUGAAUGUAGUCUGGCUUGAGAAAGGAUUACAUAUAAAGAUCAAGUGUGUUCUCUAUAUGCUGUCAAAUAGCAUUUGCCUCAUCCCAAAUUCUGUUAUUUACUUCCAGAACUGGAAGAGGGUAGAUUUAGACUACAUAUUAGGAAGAAAUUCUUUACUGUGAGGGUGAUGAGACACUGGAACAGGUUUCCCAGAGAAGCCGUUGAUGCUGCACCCUGGAAGCAUUCAAGGCCAGGUUGGAUGGGGCUUUGAGCAACCUGGUCUAGUGGGAGGUGAUCCUGCCUAUAGGAGGGGGGUUGGAACUACAUGAUCUUAAAGGUCUCUUCCAACCUAAACUAUUCUAUGAUUCUAUGAUUCUUUGAUUUUGUUGAUGAGAUAUAGACCAUAUUCUUGAAAAUUUAUUUUAAAUUUGUGAUUCUGUAAUUAUGUAAUUUGUCUCCAUUUGUUAAGUUUCCUCACAGACACACUAUGUCCUGUAGAAAUAAUAAUCUGUAAAUAGAGGUUGCCACAUCAAGUACAGAAAAUGUCAUAAUUGCAUGGAUUACUUCACUGUUGAUGUGAAACAAUAUUUUUAAAGUAGGCUUUUAAUACUUUUCUUUUUCUGAUAAAAAGAAAAAGAAGUAUAGAAGAAAACCAGACAUAUCAGGAAAACUGAUUCAAUGGAAGCCCUAGAGUAUCUGUCUGAAGACAGGCAUGGAAUUAGAAUCAUGGAAAGGUCCUCAUGCCUUUAACAGCCAAUUGAGCAAGACAACAAUCUAUCAUGAACCUGCAUCUCUGGUAUAACUUUUGAUGAAAACAUUGCUGUUUAAGCUGUUUAUCUUUUAUUUUGGGGGAAAUUAAUCUAUUUUCAUUUUUAUUCAGAAAAAAACCUACACAUUUGGAUUUACUCCUGUAGCAGUACAUGCAAAAUGCAAUCCAGAUACUUACUGUUACUGUCUUGAUAAUACAGAAUCCCAAGCUUGAUUUUUUAUCUGUUCAGAGGUGGGACCAUCCAAAAUAUAUAGCCAUCCAAAACAUACAUUUCUGAGGAUUAUUCUAGCCCUGGUAGUAAGAGCCAGGGUGAAAACUUUGCCAACAUAACUCACCACAGUCAGAACCACAAUCUACUCUUUUUUAGCAGUGUAGGGGAAGAGAGAUAUCUCUGCUUCUUGUUAUAAAUUAACCUUUAUCAUACUUUAAUUUUCCUGGCAUGCCUGCCUCCAACAUAACACACAAGAUGGAUAGUAAAGAGUGUGCUUUGCAGCCCUAGCAUGAAAGUAAAGAGCUCUUGGUAUUUAUUACCUCUUGCACUGCAGUAGCCGGGAAAAGACAACAUCUGCUUCUAAGCUCUCAUUAACUGCAUUUUCACUUGUGCUCUGUAUUUUUGUAUAUAGAGAAAUGAUAGGUGGCCUGUAAUUGCAACCUGCUCAGAGCAAGUAAGUCAAAUGGUAAGGUCAAAACCUUCAUUUUUUCUGUUUCUGCAGACAUCCUCAUAAUAAACAGCAGAGAGCAUUCUCAAUGCUUUGUCAGUUUUCUUGUUGCCUGUCAUUCAGGAGCCCACCGACUGCUGCAGCAGUGCAGUCUCAGAAGCUGAGGCAUACUCAUAGGAAAAAAGCAGCAAACUAAAGCACUGCACAACUCAUUUGUUACUUGCUGCUUGCUAGAGGAAUACAAUGAUGACUGAUGUAAAAAGCCCUGAUAUUCUGCACAUUUCUUAUUUAUUCUUUUAUGUAAACACAGGUGUCCUCUCCUGGUGAUACCAGCAUUCAAAGGGUGAGAACAAACACAAGACAAAUGAAAUCCAAAUAGUUGCUGUCUGUGGUGGUGUACCUUUAACCCUUACUCAGUCUAGCUUUUUAAUCACUCACAGUGGCAGAGUAUUAAAUACAAGUGCUUACUGAAGUUAAAAAAAAACAAGUGUUGCACUCUUGAUUUUUCAAACUCAGACAAGGGAUCCAAUUGCUGUCAGCACACAGUAUCUCUGUAACAAUAGAAAAGAAAGUGAUGAACAAUAUAGGAACAGGAUGAAAGUGGCUUAGAAAACAAGGAGUCUUGAUCUAAAAUAGCCUCAUGACAUUAGAGCUAUUUUUCCUGGUAUUUGUUUUUCCCAGAUAAGGCCUAGGUGCAUUUCAGGAAUCCAGGGUUGAACAAGUGAUGCGUUUUAUAAGGGCAGUUCAUCUGAUCUUGAUUCCAUGUUACAUUCACAGCACCGUUUCAGGAAGCCAUAGCAAAAGGAGACUGAGGAAGCUUCAGGUUUCCAUUCUGCCUUCUGUUACCAUUUCUCAUUCACCAUUUUGGCUUUGUAGACUUGAUUGUUUCCUCUCUUCAUCACUCUUCCCAUCAUAAAUCUGUAGCAGGAGGCUCUCUAGAGGUAGAAAAGACGUCUUUGACUACAAUGAUGGUGACAUAAACUAGUUUGUUAAUGGAAACCUGUUGUCAGUUCUGAGCAAUAGCCUAUACUGAGUAUCAGAAGAGGGUGCCACCUGAAAGAAGAAAAUACUCAGUUUAUUGAAAAAUGGCUGUUUUCUCUGACUACCUUCAGUACAUUAUUGUUCUUUCAUAUGCCUGUUUUGCAGUGAUCAUACGUAAGAUAUUGCUUAUCAACUGUCUCUUCUGCACAGUUUGCAAUGUUUAAUAUAAUAAGCUUUUGCCUAGCGAAAUUGAUCCAUGGUUGAGUAUGCACUUUACUGCUAAACACUUAUUUACAAUAAAACUCAGGGGAAAAAUAGUGCAAAACAAACAAACAAACAAAAACCUCAAACGUGACAGGCAAACAAAAUGAUGAAGACAGACACAUAUUAAAUUGCACGGUGUCAUUCUAUUUCACGUUAUACCUUUUUUCUACUGUUGAGGAAGAAUGAAAUUUUAGGUAAGAGUCCUAUGAAGCUCUACUUAUUAGAAUUUCCUAAUUCUCAAAUUACAGGAAAGUACUCAAAGUGUUUUAUUGUGACCUCCUCAGACUUUAGAAUAAAAGAUUGCUUAAAUCUGUUAUUUCUCUUUCUGUAAGGCAAGUGUGCUUCCAGUUGGAACAAGAGAUGGAACAGAAGAGCAGUGUCUGAGGCAGUCAGCCCAAAUAAAAAGAUGAACUGAACUAUGGAAAAAUUCCACACCACAACCUUAGUCCAGCCACCUAGGUAUACAAAUCUGAAUAAGAAGUGUGACUCCAGCUGCCCUGAGCUUUGCUGCUUUGAUUUCUUCAUCACUGAAUCUGACCCUGAGCCUGAAUUACUUCAACAAGAGUCCCAAAGGGAACAUUCAUACGGGAUUGAUCUUGUCAUUUCAGUCUUCUUGCUCUUUAUUGAAAGAAAGGAUAAAAAACCCCUUGCAUCCACACUCUUGCAAGAGAACAUCUUUCUGAAAAGGACCACAGAACACUGGCAACUGCUGAGAGAAAGCAUUAGUAGAAAGAAACAGAGUGAUUGUAAGAGGAACAGAGAAAAUAAUCUACUUACUAAUGUACACAGGAUGAACUACGGAAAGUUCAUGCAAGGAAGAAAAAAGUAAAAAACAAACAUGAAGAGCUAUACUUGCUUGUUUUUUGGUGAGAAAAAGGACAAAUGGAGAGGUGGUCUGUAAAAACAUAAUAAAUAGCAACUGCAGUUUCCCCAGUGUUUUUUUAUUUUGUCUGGAAUUACUUACAUGAGAUGAUCAUCAAUGUUAUUUGUUGAGGAAGCAUCUUCCAGUGUCCUGGUGGAUGAAAAGAUGAACAUGAGCCAGCAUUAUGAUCUUGCCGCCCUGAAGGUCGACUGUAUCCUUGUCUGCAUCAGAAGAGGGGUGGCCAGCAGGGAAACAAAGGUGAUUGUCCUCUUCUACUCUGCCUUUGUGAUACCCCCAUGUGGAUUACUUCAUUGCUGCCUUUGAGUAUUUGAAGAGAACUUACAAAGAGGAGAGAGACUGACUUCUUACGUGGUCUGAUAAUGUUGGGGGAGCUUAUCAAUGUUUAUAAAUGUAUAAAGGGUGGGUGUCAAAUAGAUGGAGUCAGGCUUUUUCCAGUGGUUCCCAGCAACAAGACAAGGGGCAAUAGGCACAAGCUAGAACAUAGGAAGUUCCAUACAAAUGUGUGGAAAAGCUUCAUUACAUUGUGGGUGUCAGAGCACUGAAACGUUGCCCACAGAGGCUGUGAAGUCUCCUUCUCCAAAGUUAUUCAUCUGGACACUUUCCUGUGCAACCUGAUGUAGGGAACUGCUUAAGGUGGGGGCUGGAAUGGAUGAGUUCCAACAGGUCCCUUGAGCCCCUACAAUUCUGUGAUUCUGCAAUUCUGUGACUUUCAACCUUUCAUCCAUUCAACACAUUGGAUCCUGAAGGUUUUGUUUAUAAUUAUUUUUUUUUCAUUAGAAGACUUGUAAGUAUUUUGAAUGUUAACAAGUAUAGAUGGUCUUAUGCAUGGCAAAACUUAAUACUUUAGCCCUUAUCAUAAAAUUAGGAAAUAUUUGCUGUUCUGAUUUCUGUUUUCCUUAUGAAUCACCUUAUAUUCUCUACUUGCAAUAACUCAGUAAGUAAGACAUUUGAUUCUGCUGUUAACAAUAGGGCUUAAAGGGUGCAUCUCUGCUUUUUUAACUGGUACAAGAUACAGGGCUUGAUACAACAUUCAUUAUAUAGUUUUUCUGAUUUCAGUAGAUUUUGGAGCCUGCCUUAAGUGAGCUUUACAUUUCUGAUUCACUCAGGAAAUUAGCCCCCAAACCUCAUGACAAGACAUGACCUCAUCCUUAUAAAGAAGAUUGGACGAUUUGUUCCAGUAAUGGGUAUAAUGGCAAAAAGCCAAGGAGGAUGGGGAUGUGUGUAAAAAUCUUGUCUGUUAUUUCUGUCAACCCAGGAAUAAUGUAAGCUUUGUACAACAUACAAGGCAUCACUAAGAACCUUUGCGUAAGUUGUUAAAGAUGAACUCUGCCCCCUGCAAUACUCAGACAAUUCUUACUGAGAUCAGUAAGUCUGGUCCAUGUGUGUCUGAAUUUAAAAUUUCUUCUAGACAAUAUUGUUUUGUAAUGAUUUCUUUCCAGUGAAUGCUCUCUCAAAUUAUUUCCCUUUCAGCUGAUUGAAUGAGAUGAUUUUUCCUUAGUUCUUCCUUAUUGUUACUUCAGUUUCUCAAGUGAAGUUUCAGAUAGUGAGCUCUUUCAGACCCUUCCACUUUGGGUCAAGUGCUGUCUUUUACUAUUCAUUUCGUGCUCAGAGGUGUAUUCUUAGACCCACAGUGUUAAGUAUUCUUAAUGUUAAAAAAAAGGCAAAUCGUUAUAACAUGAGGGUUUUGUCAAUAAAAUACAUCUGUGGGUAAGAACCGGGUACCUUCUGAUUCAUUUAGAAGCCUUCACUCUACUUUGUUAUACUCAGCCUAAAGUCACAGACUUCCCAUUUACAGAUACUGAUCACCAACAUAAAAAUCCAUGGGAACAUUUAAGAUUUUUUUCCAUAUUUAAAUGUAAUGCCUUUCCAGACAAUGUGUCUUAGUCAAACACAAGUUAUUUGGCUCAGCUUUUUCUGGCAGAGAGAAUUUAAAUCUUCACUGUAGUACACCAGUUGCUGCUUCAUCAGAUCUUUUUUACAGGCUUGUAAGUCUGAGCUGUCACUCAGAUCUGCCAAGUAGAUUGUAUCCAAUAAUUUAUCUAAUUAAUGUUGACAGAUUUUUUUUUGAAUAAAUUAUCCUUGCAUAUAUACAUAUACAGGUAAACACAUACAAAUAUAUAUAAUAUUUAACAACAAUUUACUGUUCAUAGAUGGUACCCACACAUACAAGCCUCUACUGCCAUAGAGAGUUGCAAGCCCAUUCUAAUGAUGUUUUGUCCUUGGAUACUGUUUAGAAAAGGGAUCUAAUAGCGAUUCAACAUGCUCUCCUUGUUAUCAAUUGCAUUUUUUAAAGUACUUUUUAUUUUGGGAAAUAGCAUGUUCAGGAUGUAUGACAACAGCUGAAUUACAUCACAAUAUAAAUCUCGGUACAGGUUUAACAGUUAAAGCAAACCUAUAAUAAAUUCCAUAACAGCUAUAUUGAACUGUAGAUAUAAGUUGAUUCUUCUCUCUGAAAACAAUAUACCUGCAUGAAACAUGAACAAUUGCAUUCAUUUAAUGUUUUCACAAAAUCUUCAUUUUAUUUGUAGUCUCAGGUUUUGUAAUGGUCUUCACACUUAGGAAGGAUACCUAAAGGCCAGCAGCACAAAUUCACUUUUAUUUUUGCAGUCAAUUCACACCAAGAACAAUGCAUUACAAAAUUACAUGCAUGUUGCUUUUACUGGAUGAUUUACUAAAAUGCCAUUGAGAAUUUCCUAUGAUAAGCCUUUUAUUUUCCUUUAAAUUAAAUCUUACUGAUAUUAAGCAGGAAUUUUCAGGCUUAGAAUGUGCCAGAGAGAGAAAAAAACCAAAAACAUUAUUUCUUCAGGGAGUGGGGAAAUGCUCUUCUUAUCAAUCAGAAUAAGAAGUCCCUUCUUAUCAGUACCACUGAUAUCAAGUUUGCUUUGUCUUUUCUCAUUUCUCUAGUCAAUGUGAGCUCAGGUUAGGCCAGGAUGAAACUUCCAAACUGCUCAGCCAAUUAGGGUUAUUCUGAUGGUGUGAACACAUGGCAACUACUUGUAUAAAUACCAUGAGAGUCAGCAUGCCAAAAAGUAAUUGGUGGCUGUAUUCCAGAAAGAAUUAAAUUCACUGAAUAGCUGUUAAUAAGAUUUUUACUCUCUCAUUCUUAGUGCUAGCAAUUCUAACAACAGAACUGUCCCUCAUGAAUUAAUGAAAUAAGUUAGAUAAAGCUAUAUAAAUGGAACAUACAAAGAUUUCUAUUAAAUGAUACCAAGUUUAAGGACUUUCCCUAAUGCCCUCAUCCAUUAUGCCAGAGCACUUCAGAUACUCAAGCAAUGUGCUGAAUAAUAUGAGAAACAUGCAUGUGUAUGUGUUUAUGCAGGUGUGUACAUGCAUACGUGAAAGAAGACUGCUGCAUUUCCCCCUGGUGACACAGGUAGAGAAGCAAUCAUGUACAAAAAAGCCAUAGAGAAUUAUCAGAAUUACCAAGGAUCCCAGUUUUCAACAGUGGAGUGGACAAAGAAGUGAGUUAUAUUAUAGGGACUAAUGUGUGAUUUGCAUGAAAAGUGCAGGUUUUAUCCAAAUUUUGGAUGUAACUGAAGAUGAGAUCCUCAGUUUCCUUCAGUUCUGAGUUCUUAUUCUCACACUGAAGAUUGCUUGUUGGCAUUUGUAUUUAGCCCCACAUCCUUAUCCCAACAUCACAAUCACUGAAUCAGAGUCCGGAAAUAUCUUUGCUUCAAGCAAACAAAAAGGGAAGGAAACUGCAUAUUUAAAUAACUGCAUAUCUAGAAGUAUUAUGCCUUCCUCACUUCGUUAGAGCCAUGGAGCACCUAGAGGCAGAGUAAACUUUUAAAUACGGUAGGACGAAUAAUACUACAGCUUUGGUUCAGGUUGCUCUGAAAAAUCUUUUACACAAACUAUUGCUCCUCAGCAGGCACCUUUUCUGUAAAGCAUGAGUCUGUUCCCAGUGAAGCUGUGUCAAAGGAUAUUUGGGAAGAACUGUCAGCAAGUACUUAGAAGUAAUCCUCACAUCUUUCCUCCAGUAAUUCAUUUUGCAGUACUCUUUCCUGUCAAACUCGAGAUGAAAAAAUUGCCCCCUCUGAGUUGAUGAGAUUGAUUUCUUUUACAGGCAGUGUUGUAACUAGUCCACGUAAAAUGAAAUGUAUGUCAUAAAAAAUAAACCACACAGUAGCACUGAAUGAAAAAGUGAAGUGUUUCCUUAUACUGAUGGUAAGAUAUAUAUGUAUUUUUCUGAGUAGGGUCUGAAAUAUCACAUGAAUGUUUUCUGAUCUGUUUAACACAUUCUUGCUUAUUUGGUUGUCAAUUUAAAUACUAUGCAGUAUUUAAAUUCUAAGCUAUUUUUUGCUACUGUUUAAAACAGUCAUUUCACUAUCCCAGGAAAGUUAGAGAUGAUUUUUGAUAUUCAGUCAGUAGGGAUGUCAAGUUAAUUUUAUGUGGAGAACUCAGGAAAGUAAAAAAAAAAAAAAGAUAUUUUUGGGCUGCUAGCGGAAAUGGAAAAGAAUAAUUAAAAGAUGCUUAUGAGUUUACAUGAACAUUCCUCUAUUUAUGAAGCACUAUUUUACUAUAACUUAUAUAGAAUCUAGGGUGCAGGAAAAAGAAAAAAGAAGACACCAGUUAAUGUUUUGUAUCUAGCACAGUUGUCAAUUUGACUUUCAAAUGAAGAUUUUUUCUUAUGUCUUCUUGGAAAGAAAUAUGAAGAAGAGUGCUUCAGAUUUACUUGAAUCCCAUGAGCACUUACCUUCAGGCUACAGAACCAGUCUUCAGCUUCUCUCUUCAACCUGUCCUACAACAGUUAUUCCACUCUGAACAUUAUUUUGUGAUUAAGAAUAAGAUGUGAAUGAAAAAAAAAUUAACUGUACAUGGCCUUUUGUGUGUACUAGAAAAAUAUUUGAAUAAUAAUAAUCACAGCAUGAAUCAUUCUGUGAUUCUGUGAACUUGAACAUGAAUCUCACAAGUGGCAACUGUGAUGACAGCUGAUUCUCAUGCUUGUCACCCUUAGGUUUUGACUAAAUAUUCUGCCUGAAUAUUUUUAAAGACAAAGUAAAGUUGAAAGUUUGAUCUAAAUUGCAUGUUUCUGUGAAAAGCAGCUGUUAUAGUAUUAUACCAUUUAGUAGAACAAAUGAUUUUCAACUUGUUCUGACAAGGUCUUCCUCCAGUGUUAGUGGUCUUUAAAGAAAUUUAGUGAAAUGCUGGAAUUGUACUGCAUAUUCUAAUAACAAAUAAAGGUGGGUUCCUCAUGAAUCAAUAGUUAGCAAUUUACAAGACCUACAUACAUGUAAAACCUACAUGGGUUUGGAUUUCCUAUGUUUUAGGCAUUUGGAGUCCAAUUCAUUCUUAAUUAGAAGAUAAAACCACAAUAUCUGGUUCCUGUUUGGCACACUUAUACAUAUCUGUCCCUUUUACUAGGGUUUUAUUUUUUUUAUUUCAGUCUCAUCAUCUACUAAUAAGACAUAUCAAACAUAUUUUUCUUACAAAUUAUAUUAAAGAAAAAUUUAAGCCUCGAAGAAAUGCAGUGACCUUUUCUAUAGUCUAACUAGCAGCAACUGGUCUGUGAGACUAUGAGUUGGCCUCUGUUUUUUGCUUCCACCACUGGUUUCCUUGGAGACCUUCUACAAAUUCUUCCCUGCACUUUGUCAUCAGUGACAUUAAUUUGAAGCACCUCAUCUUUCAUUUCCUUGGUUUUUAGCACUAGUGUGUGAAAAACAAAUGUUUCAGAAAUACUGAAACAAAUUUUUACCAUAUAUGCCACAUUUUGCUAAUUUUGGCUAAAUCUUGCUGGAUAAUCCAACUUCGCAGACAGUUUUGGCUUUCUUAAAGUCCUCUAUUUUGGCUGACAUAUUUAAAUGAAGAAAUGAUUAUCUAAAACACAUCAGUCAUCUCUAUUGUACCAUCACUUCUUUGCUUUUCUGCAAGAACCUAAACUUCAGUAACAGAACUGAAGAGUGUUUUUUCUCUGGAUGUUAUCUAACACAGAUUGGGAAAUACUGCAACUCUUGUGGAAAAACUCCUUGUGUGAAAUUUACAGUAAAAUUUCUGAAAGGCAUUGUUAUAGAUAAUGAAAAAUAUUGAAUUAUAUUGCCCUGGAAUUGAAACAAAAACAAACAAACAAAGAAGAACAGUAUGAGGAGA